UUUUUUAAUUAAAAACUAGAAUGAAAGGUUAUACAUUCAAAUUUCUUUAUUAAUUUUUAAUAAAUAAUUUAUAUUAAAUAUAAAAAUAUAUUUAUAAAAAAAAAAGACGACAAGACCCUAUUAAAUUUUACUUAUAGUUUAGCUGGGGAAGCUUUUCAAUUAAAAUUUUUUAAAAUCUUAAAAUAAAUAUCUAAUUAAAAUUAAAAUUUAAAUAAAUUACUAUAGGGAUAACAGCAUUAUAUUUUUUAAAAGUUCAUAUUAAAAAAAAAUGAUUGUGACCUCGAUGUUGAAUUAUAUUUUCUAUAUUUAAUGCAAUAAUUAUAAAAGUAGAUCUGUUCGAUCUUUAAAAUAUUACAUGAUUUGAGUUCAAACCGGUGUAAACCAGGUUGGUUUCUAUCUUUUUAUAUAUUUUUCCAGUACGAAAGGACAAAAAAAUUUUUAUUUUAAUAAAUUAGCAAAUAAAUGCAUUAGAUUUAGAAUCUAAAUAUAUUUAAAUU
rnacentral:misc_RNA from 1 species